GGGCUGCAGCCCCACCCCCUCUGACCGUGGGGGAGGAGGCCUCCUUUAGCCCUUUGGGCUCUGUGGCUUCCGUGGCGGGAGGCUGAAGUCGUGGCCCUUCUGUCCUGUCUGGCCCUUCUGUCCACGGGGCAGCUUUGACCCCUGAUCAAGACCACCUGGGGCACCUGUCAGCUGGCAUUCAGGACUUUGCAGGUUGUCUCUGGGCUUCAUGCCCCAGCUGCCAGCUGUGUGCAGGGAGCACCGCCCUGUCAGCAGGGUUUUUGGUGUUUGUGGUCACCGUUCAUGGUGCCGCCCUAGCAGUACUAUCCAGAGUCCCGGCCUGUCACACACAGCUUCUGGCUGACCAGGAUGGCAGCAGUCGAGCCCGCAGACAUCUGUCCUUACCACUUUCCGCAGACAGAGGACAGAGUGACCGCGAGUCCAGGAGAAGCAGACAAGACAACAGAUGGGCAGCCGUUAGCCACUAAGGAGGGAAGACAUCCCCUCCCGCCCAGCAGGAGGGAAAGGUCCCUGAAGGGCAGCUGGAGAAGAAGGAAUGGAAGCAAGAGAAGAAAGCUCGGGAUCAAGAAGUGUGGGUUGGGGUGGGCAGGAGGAAGGUGAAUGUUUAAUGUCUGCUUAGAGAAGUACAGAUGGAGACUGCUGAGUGCCUCUCUACACUUUCAAACACCCAUUAGGAGCAAGCAGCCGCACGCUUCAAGUUGCACCGUGCACUCGGUCUUGGGUUGGCCCCGAUUGUGUGCAGGGAGGUUGAGGCUUUGUGCUAGUUGUGCAUUUUGAUAUGCAGCAGUGAAGGGUUUGGUAGGUUGUUUGGCUUUGCUAGUUAAGCAGUGGAUCAAAAUAGAUGCGAUUGAAGGCAGCGUAUACUGUGUUCUUGGUUGGGUUGUUGAGCCGUUCUCGGUGUUAGUGUAGAAAUGUCAGUUUGUGCUUGGUUCUGUUUGUGGUUUGGCUGUAGCUUUGCUUAGGAUGUAGCUUGCGGGGCCAAUUUGAGGCUGUUUGUGGUGCAAUAUAUUUGCAUCUGUACGUUAAGGCUUCAGGGUGUUCGUGUUUAACCUCCAGCUCCACAAGGACAAAGAUCUCGUCCUGUGUCCAAACGAUUGUAAAUGUAGUUGGCGUGGUCAACAUCAAACCGGCAGGAGCAAACAGGCCUAAGAUGUGCACAGUCGAACAAUAAGUGGUCUAAGAAACUUCACCUCAUGUCUGGUACUUUUCUGUGCUGAGAUUUGGCCAUGGGCCUUUCCUGCUGCGAGCUGGCUGAAGGAUGAACUUUUUCAUUGUCUGCUGAUCCGAUCUGUGUUCUUACUUGUGAAAUGCAAACAUUUCCUCUUGUGAUGGACCAGUGGUAAAAGAAUGUGUAACACAUGGUUCCUAGUCCUUGGUUUACAAUGGUUAAUGCACUGUAGGAAAUCAGUCCUGAUUUAUUUGAGGUAAAGUAUAGUGAAGUUGUGGUGCUUCGGUGUAAUCUGUUGAAGUUCAGCUGCUCCUUGUCUCAAAAGGAAUACGUGGUCUGAAUGAAAAUAAAA